rnacentral:rRNA from 1 species
CUCCAGACUCCUACGGGAGGCAGCAGUGAGGAAUAUUGGUCAAUGGGCGGGAGCCUGAACCAGCCAAGUCGCGUGAGGGACGACGGUCCUAUGGAUUGUAAACCUCUUUUGUCGGGGAACAAAGGCGCCCACGGGUGGGCGGAUGAGUGUACCCGAAGAAAAAGCAUCGGCUAACUCCGUGCCAGCAGCCGCGGUAAUACGGAGGAUGCGAGCGUUAUCCGGAUUUAUUGGGUUUAAAGGGUGCGUAGGCGGACGCUUAAGUCAGCGGUAAAAUUGCGGGGCUCAACCUCGUCGAGCCGUUGAAACUGGGCGCCUUGAGUGGGCGAGAAGUACGCGGAAUGCGUGGUGUAGCGGUGAAAUGCAUAGAUAUCACGCAGAACUCCGAUUGCGAAGGCUGCAUGCCGGCUCCACACUGACGCUGAGGCACGAAAGCGUGGGUAUCGAACAGGAUUAGAUACCCUUGUAUU